UCGCCGUGGCCGAGGACGGCAAGCGCACCCCGAUCCAGAAGGUCGACGGCGCGUGGCAACGCGGUGAGCAGCGU
rnacentral:tRNA from 1 species